rnacentral:misc_RNA from 1 species
UACGGAGGGUGCAAGCGUUAAUCGGAAUUACUGGGCGUAAAGCGCGCGUAGGUGGCUUGAUAAGCCGGUUGUGAAAGCCCCGGGCUCAACCUGGGAAUGGCCUCCGAAACUGCCAAGCUUGAGUGCAGGAGAGGAAGGUAGAAUUCGCGGUGUAGCGGUGAAAUGCGUAGAGAUCGGGAGGAAUACCAGUGGCGAAGGCGGCCUUCUGGACUGACACUGACACUGAGGUGCGAAAGCGUGGGUAGCAAACAGG